GAUGAACGCUGGCGGCGUGCCUAAUACAUGCAAGUCGAGCGUACAGACGAGGAGCUUGCUCCUCUGACGUUGGCGGCGGACGGGUGAGUAACACGUGGAUAACCUACCUAUAAGACUGGGAUAACUUCGGGAAACCGGAGCUAAUACCGGAUAAUAUAUUGAACCGCAUGGUUCAAUAGUGAAAGACGGUUUUGCUGUCACUUAUAGAUGGAUCCGCGCCGCAUUAGCUAGUUGGUAAGGUAACGGCUUACCAAGGCAACGAUGCGUAGCCGACCUGAGAGGGUGAUCGGCCACACUGGAACUGAGACACGGUCCAGACUCCUACGGGAGGCAGCAGUAGGGAAUCUUCCGCAAUGGGCGAAAGCCUGACGGAGCAACGCCGCGUGAGUGAUGAAGGUCUUCGGAUCGUAAAACUCUGUUAUUAGGGAAGAACAAAUGUGUAAGUAACUAUGCACGUCUUGACGGUACCUAAUCAGAAAGCCACGGCUAACUACGUG
rnacentral:rRNA from 1 species